rnacentral:rRNA from 1 species
AUGAACGCUGGCGGCGUGCCUAAUACCUGCCAGUCGAGCGAACGGACGAGAAGCUUGCUUUUCUGAUGUUAGCGGCGGACGGGUGAGUAACACGUGGAUAACCUACCUAUAAGACUGGGAUAACUUCGGGAAACCGGAGCUAAUACCGGAUAAUAUUUUGAACCGCAUGGUUCAUAAGUGAAAGACGGUCUUGCUGUCACUUAUAGAUGGAUCCGCGCUGCAUUAGCUAGUUGGUAAGGUAACGGCUUACCAAGGCAACGAUGCAUAGCCGACCUGAGAGGGUGAUCGGCCACACUGGAACUGAGACACGGUCCAGACUCCUACGGGAGGCAGCAGUAGGGAAUCUUCCGCAAUGGGCGAAAGCCUGACGGAGCAACGCCGCGUGAGUGAUGAAGGUCUUCGGAUCGUAAAACUCUGUUAUUAGGGAAGAACAUAUGUGUAAGUAACUGUGCACAUCUUGACGGUACCUAAUCAGAAAGCCACGGCUAACUACGUG